GAAUUGGAUUCAUUUGGUGUGCGUGAGUGCUCUUUCUCUCUCUCUCUCUCUCUCUCUCUCUUCUCUCUUUCUCUCUCCUACGACUCUCUCUCUUCGAUUCCGGGCCAGUUUUACGCCGGAUCGACAAACCGAAGCCACCACGACGCUCCUGGCAAAGUUCUCUACAAGUCUGCCGGAACGGAUCGUCAGGAAAACGAAGUUGGAUUUCAUCCGAAAUCCAAGUUCCAGGGUAUUAAUUGGGAACCUUGGGAAUCAUCCCUAAGUUGAGGGUAUUGAGUUGAGAACCUUGUGGGUACGGGAAAGAUUUUCUUAGUGGCUUUUCAGGAAUCAGGAGCCCCUGAUAGGAGAGUGGGAAAAGCCCCGCUGAUCUAGAUCAGUUGUUUGCUCUCUUUGGAAGGGUAAGUUUUUGGUAGGGACAGUUAGGUUUUGUGGGGAUUGUCCCUAGAUUUCAUUUUUGAGAUGUAUAUACUGUGAGAUAGUAAUUGUAGUGACUCUGGUAUGUGUUAUGCACUUUAUGAUGAGAUGUAUAUGAUUUUAUACUUUCUGC